GACGAACGCUGGCGGCGUGCUUAACACAUGCAAGUCGAACGGAAAGGCCCUGCUUGCGGGGUACUCGAGUGGCGAACGGGUGAGUAACACGUGGGUGAUCUGCCCUGCACUUCGGGAUAAGCCUGGGAAACUGGGUCUAAUACCGGAUAGGAGCCAUUUUUAGUGUGAUGGUUGGAAAGUUUUUUCGGUGUAGGAUGAGCUCGCGGCCUAUCAGCUUGUUGGUGGGGUAAUGGCCUACCAAGGCGGCGACGGGUAGCCGGCCUGAGAGGGUGGACGGCCACAUUGGGACUGAGAUACGGCCCAGACUCCUACGGGAGGCAGCAGUGGGGAAUAGUGCACAAUGGGCGCAAGCCUGAUGCAGCGACGCCGCGUGGGGGAUGACGGCCUUCGGGUUGUAAACGCCUUUCGCUAGGGACGAAGCUUUUUGUGACGGUACCUAGAUAAGAAGCACCGGCUAACUACGUG
rnacentral:rRNA from 1 species